UACGUAGGGUGCAAGCGUUAUCCGGAAUUAUUGGGCGUAAAGAGCUCGUAGGCGGUUUGUCGCGUCUGCUGUGAAAAUCCAGGGCUUAACCCUGGACCUGCAGUGGGUACGGGCAGACUAGAGUGCGGUAGGGGAGAUCGGAAUUCCUGGUGUAGCGGUGAAAUGCGCAGAUAUCAGGAGGAACACCGGUGGCGAAGGCGGAUCUCUGGGCCGUAACUGACGCUGAGGAGCGAAAGCAUGGGGAGCGAACAGG
rnacentral:rRNA from 1 species